GGCUGUGAGGGUGAGUUGACUGUGACAUCUGUCACCCCAUUGAUUGCCAGAGUUGAUUCAGCUGAUCUGGCUGGCUAGAAGGGUAUCCCUUUCCUCCCUCAGUGCUUUGUGUGUAUUCCUCCUGAAGUUGUGUGCUCAAUCGAAGAGGACUCUGCUAGAGGAGGACCAUUCUUAAGUAGGUUUCCCUGCUAGAAACUCCAAACAAGCUCCCAGGGUCCAUAGAAACCUGCUCCCCAGCAGUGUUGUCAACCUGACUUCUCCUCAGGUGGAGCAAGACAGAAAUAAUUG
rnacentral:snRNA from 1 species